rfam:Gossypium arboreum cultivar AKA8401 contig_36723_1, whole genome shotgun sequence.
AACCAAUGGUGAGGGCAUCGUCUCAAGAGAUCCUUGUAUCUCUCCCAUGCAUUGUAGAGUAUCUCUAAAUCUAUCUAUACAAAAGAAAAGAUAUCAUUACGUAAUUU